rnacentral:rRNA from 1 species
CCUACGGGAGACAGCAGUGAGGAAUAUUGGUCAAUGGCCGCAGGGCUGAACCAGCCAAGUCGCGUGAGGGAUGACGGUCCUAUGGAUUGUAAACCUCUUUUGUCAGGGAGCAAAGGGCGCCACGUGUGGCGCUUUGCGAGUACCUGACGAAAAAGCAUCGGCUAACUCCGUGCCAGCAGCCGCGGUAAUACGGAGGAUGCGAGCGUUAUCCGGAUUUAUUGGGUUUAAGGGGUGCGCAGGCGGAAUGUCAAGUCAGCGGUAAAAUUUCGGGGCUCAACCCCGUCGUGCCGUUGAAACUGGCGUUCUUGAGUGAGCGAGAGGUAUGCGGAAUGCGUGGUGUAGCGGUGAAAUGCAUAGAUAUCACGCAGAACUCCGAUUGCGAAGGCAGCAUACCGGCGCUCAACUGACGCUCAUGCACGAAAGCGUGGGUAUCGAACAGGAUUAGAUACCCUAGUAGUC